CACAAAUCGCAAACCAUUAAAGGCACAAUCCAUCAUUUGAAUCAUUUGUUUUUCUGCCAAAUGGCAGCCCCGUCACUUGGUUUACGAUAAGGUUGAUCGUGAAUGGGGCUGAGGAAAUCUAACAACUCAAAUGACUUGAUAAACUGAGAUAGGGAUGUAAGGGGAGGUAUAGAGGUUAACUGACAUGGUGCUAACAGAAUGGAGGCUAACUGACAUGGUGCUAACAGAAUGGAGGUUAACUGACAUGGUACUAACAGAACAGAAUGGAGAUUAACUGACAUGGUGCUAACAGAAUGGAGGUUAACUGACAUGGUGCUAACAGAACAGAAUGGAGGCUAACUGACAUGGUGCUAACAGAAUAGAGGCUAACUGACAUGGUGCUAACAGAACAGAAUGGAGGCUAACUGACAUGGUGCUAACAGAACAGAAUGGAGGUUAACUGACAUGGUGCUAACAGAAUGGAGGCUAACUGACAUGGUGCUAACAGAACAGAAUGGAGGCUAACUGACAUGGUGCUAACAGAAUGGAGGCUAACUGACAUGGUGCUAACAGAAUGGAGGUUAACUGACAUGGUACUAACAGAACAGAAUGGAGAUUAACUGACAUGGUGCUAACAGAAUGGAGGUUAACUGACAUGGUGCUAACAGAACAGAAUGGAGGCUAACUGACAUGGUGCUAACAGAAUAGAGGCUAACUGACAUGGUGCUAACAGAACAGAAUGGAGGCUAACUGACAUGGUGCUAACAGAACAGAAUGGAGGCUAACUGACAUGGUACUAACAGAAUGGAGGUUAACUGACAUGGUGCUAACAGAAUGGAGGCUAACUGACAUGGUGCUAACAGAACAGAAUGGAGGUUAACUGACAUGGUGCUAACAGAAUGGAGGCUAACUGACAUGGUGCUAACAUAAUGGAGGCUAACUGACAUGGUACUAACAGAACAGAAUGGAGGCUAACUGACAUGGUGCUAACAGAAUGGAGGUUAACUGACAUGAUGCUAACAGAAUGGAGGCAAACUGACAUGGUACUAACAGAACAGAAUGGAGGCUAACUGACAUGGUGCUAACAAAAUGGGGCCAACUGACAUGGUACUAACAGAACAGAAUGGAGGCUAACUGACAUGGUGCUAACAGAAUGGAGGCUAACUGACAUGGUGCUAACAGAAUGGAGGUUAACUGACAUGGUGCUAACAGAAUGGAGGCUAACUGACAUGGUGCUAACAUAAUGGAGGCUAACUGACAUGGUGCUAACAUAAUGGAGGCUAACUGACAUGGUACUAACAGAACAGAAUAGAGGCUAACUGACAUGGUGCUAACAGAAUGGAGCCUAACUGACAUGGUGCUAACAGAAUGGAGGCUAACUGACAUGGUGCUAACAGAACAGAAUGGAGGUUACUGACAUGGUGCUAACAGAAUGGAGGCUAACUGACAUGGUGCUAAACAGAAUGGAGGCUAACUGACAUGGUGCUAACAGAACAGAAUGGAGGCUUACUGACAUGGUGCUAACAGAACAGAAUGGAGGCUAACUGACAUGGUGCUAACAGAACAGAAUGGAGGCUAACUGACAUGGUACUAACAGAACAGAAUGGAGGCUAACUGACAUGGUACUAACAGAAUGGAGGCUAACUGACAUAGUACGAACAUAAUGGAGGCUAACUGACAUGGUGCUAACAGAACAGAAUGGAGGCUAACUGACAUGGUACUAACAGAACAGAAUGGAGGUUAACUGACAUGGUGCUAACAGAAUGGAGGCUAACUGACAUGGUGCUAACAUAAUGGAGGCUAACUGACAUGGUACUAACAGAACAGAAGGGAGGCUAACUGACAUGGUGCUAACAUAAUGGAGGCUAACUGACAUGGUACUAACAGAACAGAAUGGAGGCUGACUGACAUGGUACUAACAGAAUGGAGGUUAACUGACAUGGUGCUAACAGAAUGGACGCUAACUGACAUGGCGCUAACA